rnacentral:rRNA from 1 species
CCUACGGGAGGCAGCAGUGAGGGAUAUUGCACAAUGGGGGGAACCCUGAUGCAGCGACGCCGCGUGGGUGAAGGAGUAUUUCGGUAUGUAAAGCCCUAUCGGCAGGGAAGAAUUUAGACGGUACCUGACUAAGAAGCCCCGGCUAACUACGUGCCAGCAGCCGCGGUAAUACGUAGGGGGCAAGCGUUAUCCGGAUUUACUGGGUGUAAAGGGAGCGUAGACGGCGAUGUAAGUCUGAAGUGAAAGGCGGGGGCCCAACCCCCGGACUGCUUUGGAAACUGUAUGGCUGGAGUGCAGGAGAGGUAAGUGGAAUUCCUAGUGUAGCGGUGAAAUGCGUAGAUAUUAGGAGGAACACCAGUGGCGAAGGCGGCUUACUGGACUGUAACUGACGUUGAGGCUCGAAAGCGUGGGGAGCAAACAGGAUUAGAUACCCCGGUAGUC